rnacentral:rRNA from 1 species
UACGUAGGGAGCGAGCGUUGUCCGGAAUCAUUGGGCGUAAAGAGCGCGUAGGUGGAUCAAUUAGUCUGCUGUGAAAGUCAAAGGCUCAACCUUUGAAAGCCGGUGGAUACUGUUGAUCUAGAGUACGGAAGAGGCGAGUGGAAUUCCUGGUGUAGCGGUGGAAUGCGCAGAUAUCAGGAGGAACACCAAUAGCGAAGGCAGCUCGCUGGGACGUUACUGACACUGAGGCGCGAAAGCCAGGGGAGCGAACGGG